rnacentral:rRNA from 1 species
UACAGAGGGGGCAAGCGUUGUUCGGAAUUACUGGGCGUAAAGGGCGCGUAGGCGGCCGCCUAAGUCAGACGUGAAAUCCCUCGGCUCAACUGGGGAACUGCGUCUGAUACUGGGUGGCUUGAAUCCGGGAGAGGGAUGCGGAAUUCCAGGUGUAGCGGUGAAAUGCGUAGAUAUCUGGAAGAACACCGGUGGCGAAGGCGGCGCUCUGGACCGAGACUGACGCUGAGGCGCGAAAGCGUGGGGAGCAAACAGG